rnacentral:lncRNA from 10 species
UAAACACAUUUGAUAAAAAAUCAAGUUAGAGUUGGGCAUGGUAUCACCAUGGAACCAAUAAACAACAUGGAAGAGACUUCCAGUAAAUUUCAGAUCAUUACCUCUAGUUUAGUAUCAGAUUCACUGUCCAGAUAAAACCAAAACUAGUGUCUAGAGCAACUUACAGUUUAAUACCAGGCGGCUGAGAGAGCUAGCCUUUUGCAAUACAAAUGAAAGAAUUCCACGUCUCACUGUGGGCAGAAAUCAACUUCUCCAACUGAAGUUCAAAAUUCCUUUCUCCCAGAUCACUCCCCUUCACCAACUAAAGCUUGCCACCUUCAGACACUGCCAUUCAAUUGGAUUGAGCAAGCAACAGAGCUGAGAUUCUCACUCUGGCAGCCCCACAUGGGGCCCUUCAUGAAUCACCCCCCGCUACCCAUUCUCAGCUUCUGGGUGGAGUACACACACCAGGACCUCAGAGAAGAGGCUAAGUGAAACUCCUCACAUGGCUUUUCUGAUGCCUCUACUGACCAACUAGGCUCAAAUAAGACGAUGACAACUACCACUUGCCAUGGGCCCUCCCCAUUCAUUUACCUAGGAACCUUAGAAGCACAACUCUUAAACAUUUUCUUGUUUACUGUCUGUCUUUUCCACAUGACUUGAAGGUUCAUAAGAGUAGAACCUUGGCUGUCUUGUUCACUAUUCCUCCAUGAUGAGGUAAGGCUUUGCCAGACACUCCCCAUCAUAUAUUUACAUAGUUCUGAAUAAACACAGUUCAGGUUCCACCCAAAAACUGUUUAAGUUUAGCCUUUUUAACAACGGCAAAUCCAUAAAUCACACUGACUAUGAGGAUAAAGGACCUCUCUCCCCUCCCCUCCCCUCCCCUCCCCUCCUCUCUCUCUCUCUGUCGCAACACAAAACUGGACAGCACACAAAAUUUCCCCAAGGUCUCCAGUCUCUGAGCUCUUUGGACUUGAAGAAGCUGAGUCAAGCUCU